rnacentral:rRNA from 1 species
GACGUAGGGAGCAAGCGUUGUCCGGAUUUAUUGGGCGUAAAGAGCUCGUAGGCGGUUCAGUAAGUCAGGUGUGAAACCUCCAGGCUCAACCUGGAGACGCCACCUGAUACUGCUGUGACUUGAGUCCGGUAGGGGAGCGUGGAAUUCCUGGUGUAGCGGUGAAAUGCGCAGAUAUCAGGAGGAACACCAGCGGCGAAGGCGGCGCUCUGGGCCGGAACUGACGCUGAGGAGCGAAAGCGUGGGUAGCAAACAGG